UACGGGGGGGCAAGCGUUGUUCGGAAUUACUGGGCGUAAAGGGCGCGUAGGCGGCCUGCUAAGUCGGAUGUGAAAUCCCUCGGCUCAACCGAGGAACUGCAUCCGAUACUGGCGGGCUUGAAUCCGGGAGAGGGAUGUGGAAUUCCAGGUGUAGCGGUGAAAUGCGUAGAUAUCUGGAGGAACACCGGUGGCGAAGGCGGCAUCCUGGACCGGUAUUGACGCUGAGGCGCGAAAGCUAGGGGAGCAAACGGG
rnacentral:rRNA from 1 species